UGUUGAUGGCUGGACAUUGCAUCAUCCUAGAAAACUUGGAGGCCAGUGAGGACAAAAAUAAAAAGUUAUAAAACUUUUAAGAAUGUGGAUUUUAGGGUUAUUUUUGGUGCCCCCUAGAACCUAAACCAUGGGGUGCAGCAUCAUGAUUUGUACAACUUUGAAUGGCCAUGGAGUGUAGAUUGGCCUGAGCAAAUGUGGUGCCGGUGGAACGAAAGCCUUCGGAGGAGUUAGCGAAAUUCCAAUGUGUGCGGAUCUGCAAAAAAUGCGAAAUAACCCUUUAACCGUACAUUUGACAGAUACGCCCGCACUGACUUUUUUGUAGAUCUUAUUGAGAUACAUGUGUGUGUCAAUUUUUGUGUCAAUAUGACAAAGCGUACAGGCGUGACAGUCAAUAGUGUGAAUUUUCACCUUAGGGGGCGCUAUGGAGCCAUUUUGUAUUUUAUUGUUUGGGCGACUUCAGAAUAUCGAAUUUUUCACCAGGCCCGGUCGUCCUGCCAAAUUUCCUGAGUUUUCGCCAGUGGGAAGUGGGCCAUUUUCCAGUUUAAAGCGGAGGAAAAAUAAUAACUAGGACCCCGUUGGGGCACUGUCGGGCCCGAGCCGUGUCGCGUCCCCCCCCCCCCCCCCCCAACGUGCUGCCUCCCCGUCCCAUUUGUGUCCUCUGGCCAUCGCCCUCUCUGGUAACGCCCAUCACUGCAAAGACCCUUUUCCUUCAUCGGCGUUUGCUGUUCUUCCUGCCAGUGCGUGUUGCUUUCACUUACACUUGCCACAGCCAGCCUCGUGAGUGCCUAGCCUAUUGGAUAUCACUGUCACCUACACAGGACAGUCAUUACCUUUCUAUUAAUACUUUGUGUUUUAAUUUCACAUUAAUUUCCAUAUUGUAUAAACGACUGGAAAAAACUUGAGCCCCUGCCCCUGUAUAAUCAUGUGCAUGUCUCUGUUCUAGCUCCAAGGUGAAUCUUCACUGCUCAUGUUCUCCUCAGAAGCACUCACCUCACUCCCCUCAGGUUACUGUACACAUGCACCAACUGCCUGCUUCAGGUUUGGAUGGAGCUUCAUGGUUGUCUUUUGGAGAAAUGACCAGUCAAGUUGUGUUUGAAAUUUGAUUUUUUUCAGGGGCAAAAGGAGCCUCUGCAUUCUUGUCAAAUAUGUAAAUAGCAUGUUUUUGCAGGUGCUAAAAACCAGACUCUGAGUGUGUGUGUGUGUGUGUGUGUGUGUGUGUGUGUGCGUGUGUGUGUCUGUGUGUGCGUUCAAGUCACAUGACAUAUUUAAUCGGAUGUAGCUGCAAGACGGAGCCUCGUUGACUCUCCGUUUCAACUUAUCUCAAAAGUGAGGACCUCAACCUAUAUACCAGUUUUUAAAUUGUGUUGAUAGGCCAAAUAAAACCAGAGUUAUGAUAAAUUAUGUCCGCGAUACUUUUUUUCUGCUUAUUUUGAUCACGUUCGGCGCUCGAUCGCGCUGUAUGAGACAGGAAAACAUAGCAUGCAGACAUUAGCGACAGGUCUUACAGGCGGAAAAGGCUUGCCAAAAAGAAAAAAAAAACACACCACAACAUCUCUCCUAUUGGUGGAAAACUUCACCACAACAACCAAUCCAAAAUUAUAUGGUGACUGAAUGACAAGGGGCGGGCGCUUACGUUCUUCCUGCAACAUGAGAAGGGAGGGAGGGACUCUCAGCAGGGAUGCAGUCUGGGACACGUAGUUGCAAACCUAGCGACUUUGUUGUUAGAUUCAAUGACUUUUCAGACCCCCUAACGACUUUUUUUUAGAAAGAAAGGGACUUUUAUCGACUUCUUCUGGAGUUUAGAGACUCUGACAUGAAGCAGGCUUUCCUUACUGAGGAGUUAGCAACGCUGCUAAGGGUGCAGAGCCACACAUGCGCUCAGAGCUCUGCAUGGGAGACUGAAGCUGACAGAGCUGCAGCAGUUAGCAGGUUUCACCCUCAGAGACCACCAGGGGUUCAUGUUGAGGAAUUUUAAUUUUUUUCUUUUUUGUGCCAUAGACACUGUCAGCACAAUCUGCAGUUACACUAACAAAAAUGCUGCAAAAAACAAAGAAUUAUGGAAAAAUUACACAUGGACU